rnacentral:rRNA from 1 species
UACGGAGGGUGCAAGCGUUAUCCGGAUUCACUGGGUUUAAAGGGUGCGUAGGCGGGCAGGUAAGUCCGUGGUGAAAUCUCUGAGCUUAACUCAGAAACUGCCAUGGAUACUAUUUGUCUUGAAUAUUGUGGAGGUGAGCGGAAUAUGUCAUGUAGCGGUGAAAUGCUUAGAUAUGACAUAGAACACCAAUUGCGAAGGCAGCUAACUAAGCUUUAACUGACGCUGAGGCACGAAAGUGUGGGGAUCAAACAGG